rnacentral:rRNA from 1 species
UACGUAGGGUGCGAGCGUUAAUCGGAAUUACUGGGCGUAAAGCGUGCGCAGGCGGCGCGUUAAGACAGGUGUGAAAGCCCCGAGCUUAACUUGGGAAUUGCGCUUGUGACUGGCGUGCUGGAGUGUGGCAGAGGGAGGUGGAAUUCCACGUGUAGCAGUGAAAUGCGCAGAUAUCGGGAGGAACACCAAUGGCGAAGGCAGCUCGCUGGGACGGUACUGACGCUGAGACGCGAAAGCGUGGGGAGCAAACAGG